UAAAUUGAGAGUUUGAUCCUGGCUCAGGACGAACGCUGGCGGCGUGCUUAACACAUGCAAGUCGAGCGAGAGAGUUUUCUUCGGAAAACAAUCUAGCGGCGGACGGGUGAGUAACACGUGGGUAACCUGCCUCAUAGAGGGGGAUAGCCUCCCGAAAGGGAGAUUAAUACCGCAUAACAUCAUUUUAGCGCAUGCUGAAAUGAUCAAAGGAGUA
rnacentral:ncRNA from 1 species